rnacentral:rRNA from 1 species
CCUACGGGGGGCACCAGUAGGGAAUCUUCGGCAAUGGACGAAAGUCUGACCGAGCAACGCCGCGUGAGUGAAGAAGGUUUUCGGAUCGUAAAACUCUGUUGGUAGAGAAGAACGUUGGUGAGAGUGGAAAGCUCAUCAAGUGCCGGUAACUACCCAGAAAGGGACGGCUAACUACGUGCCAGCAGCCGCGGUAAUACGUAGGUCCCGAGCGUUGUCCGGAUUUAUUGGGCGUAAAGCGAGCGCAGGUGGUUUAUUAAGUCUGGUGUAAAAGGCAGUGGCUCAACCAUUGUAUGCAUUGGAAACUGGUAGACUUGAGUGCAGGAGAGGAGAGUGGAAUUCCAUGUGUAGCGGUGAAAUGCGUAGAUAUAUGGAGGAACACCGGUGGCGAAAGCGGCUCUCUGGCCUGUAGCUGACACUGAGGCUCGAAAGCGUGGGGGGCAAACAGGAUUAGAUACCCGUGUAGUC